rnacentral:tRNA from 1 species
GGCGCGGUAGCUCAGCUGGUUAGAGCGCGUGAUUCAUAAUCACGAGGUCGAGUGUUCAAGUCACUCUCGCGCUA